CCGUUUCAUAGACAGACACAGUCCUAUGCCUACUGAAGAUGAGGAUUUCCAUUUUCAUUCAAUGAAAUUUCCGAAAAAUCCAAGGUUUUGCUCACUGAAUGUAACGUGAUUUCAUCCUUCAUUCAAGACUUCAAGCUAAUGACACCUUAUUAUCCCCAAUAUACAUCAACCCAAGUUAGCCGCAAACCCCUCUUCAAAGAACCUCCACCAGAUCUCACCCCUUUCGAUUAUUCUGCUUUCUAAUCUCAUAGAUUUUCUUAUUGAAUUUGGAAUUCAUCACGUGGUUUCGUUUUGGUAUCAUUUGGAAAUUGAGGUCGCCGGCAAGGUUCCGUUCGAGGUUGCCGUUGAGGUGUCCAGCCGACUGAUCUGUUCGUAGUUAUCGGCGAAAGCUCCAAUCCAGAACUACCAAAUUGCUAGGCUUGUAGUUCCAACCCCCGUUCAUUUGUGCAAGAGGUCCGAUUUUUGCCUUAUAAUCUCUUGGAUAAUGGUUAAAUUCCUUGUUUGCUUUUAUUCUGUUGAAGUUACUUGUUGAAACCAUUUUGAAUUUUGUUUCCAUAUUUGUUAAGAACGUUGAGGUGUUGCUUCGAUUCUUUUGGAUUAUACCUUAGUCAUGCUGCUUUGGUAUUUAUUGGUAAAUAAUGCGUAAAUCGCAUUUUGUUUGAUAAUAUGGAAUUCAUGGAUAUGAAACUUUUUGUUGCCUCCAUUCCAGAAGGUUUGUGUCAUAGCCUUCUAAAUCAUCUUCUAUCUGCUGUUGUUUUUCGAGGAGAUCAAGCCAUCAAUUUGAAAUUUUGGACUACUCUACCUCAACUUCGUUACUUUGGACAUGUUCUCACGGAGCAUGAGGUUUAGCUUGUUAAUUUUUAUCUCCUACAUUUGAUAUAGUCAUGCAUACAUUAAACAACAUUUAUUAUAGGGAAGGGGAAAGAGCUGUAAUAGUUAGACUUUAAUAGAGAUUUUUAGGCUUUUUAACAUAAUUAAAUACAAAGAGAUUGUCAAUUUUGUCUAACACGAUGCAUACGUAUAAAAUUUCUCUUUCUCCUCUGUUUUAAUGCGUGUUAUUGUCCAUUUGGUUGGAACAUGAUGGAUGGACAAAUUUGAAUGAUUUUUAUGACCGAUCAUGUUAGUUUUAAUAAAUUGAGGCGUGCCAUGCCAAAUAAAGUCUCAAACCCUAUGACCCUCGAAUAAUUAAUGUGAUCUCCUUAGAAAUCGAGGUGUACCAUUUAAUUGAAUUUUCAUGGCCCUCGCAAAGUUGAAAGUGCGUAGUUGCUUUAGGCGUGCUAUUUAAAAAUUAUUUUCCUAAACUCGAGUGUGCAUUUAUGUGAACCAUAUCCAAAUCUCAACAACGUUAAAUAAAAUAUGUUGUGGACUGCGGGUGCAUUUAUGUGACGUGGUUCAGGACGUGUUUUAGAUGACGUUAAAUCUUUCUCCUAAAAAACAAUUAAUUAAAGCAGUUAUAAAGUUAAAAUUGAACCAUAGGUUAAAAUAUGUAUUAAAAUCAGAUAAUAGGCCAAUUGUAACAGUUGAGCGACCGUGUUAGAACCACGGAACUCGGGAAUGCCUAAUACCUUCUCCCGGGUUAACAGAAUUCCUUAUCCGGAUUUCUGUGUCCGCGGACUGUAAUACUGAGUCAAUCUUUUCCUCGAUUCGGGAUUUAAAACUGGUGACUUGGGACACCACAAAUUAUUCCAAGUGGCGACUCUGAAUUUUUAAUAAAAUAAUCCCGUUUCGAUUGUCAUUUUAAGUUGGAAAAAACUCCCUUAUACACCCUCUCGGGAUGUAGAAAAGGAGGUGUGACAUGGUUUAACAAUUUUUAUUAAAACUUAAGCUUGGGAGCUCGGAUUUGAGCGAGAUUUUGAGGGACUUUCAGAGAUAUCGAUUGGGUAACGAUUCUUAAAUGAUUCUGGCUUGUAACACAUUAAUCUAAACAUGAAUUCAUCGUUUAAUUUCGGAAUUUGUAUGAAAAUUGGGGAAACAUUCUUAGACCAAGCAUUUGAGUUUUGAUUGAGGAUUUGACAUUGGAUUGGGGUAAUUUUGAUAUGGUUAGACUCGUGAAAGUGUGAGAAUUCUAAAAAUUUAAAUUUUACCCGAUUCCGAGACAUGGGCCCGUGGGACAUUUUGGUCAUUUUACCUAAUUUUGCGUAUUAGCUUAGAUUUUCUUUGUAGAAUCAGUUACAUGAAGUCUUAUUUACGUUAUGAAAUUGAAUUGAAUAUAUUUGGGCUAUUUGCAGUCGAGUACUCGUGGCAAGAACGUGGUCUCAGAUUGAUUUUGAGCCGGUUCGAGGUAAAUGGCUUGUCUAACCUUGUGUGGGGGACCUUCCCCUUAGGAUUGGUAUAUUUGGUAAUUGAAAUACUUUGUACGUGAGGUGACGAGUGCGUACUUGUGCAAAUUAUUAGAAAUCCGAUUUUCUUUAAGUAUUUAUUAGUAUGUUCUUUUCCUGUUUUUAUUACUUGUGCUAUUAAGCCUAUUGUUAGCUUAGGAAAGUAUGUCUAAGUGAGUUAGUUGCUUUUAUUGUCCAACCUGCUUAACUGAAUUCUGUGCAACAUGCUAGGUUAGAAUCACUUGUUUACCUUAAUAUGAAAUUUGCCAUUACUGUAUAAUUUCCUGUUGCUGCUUGUAUUUAUUUUGGGACUACGAAUGUGGAAUUCCGGUAGCUCCCCCUUAUCUGUUUAUUUUGGGACUACAGAUGUGGGAUUUCGGUAGAUCCGCCUGCACAGUUAUAUGGAACUACGGGAAUGCACCCAGUACUGGUUAUUUAUAUUUGGGACUACGGAACGGGAUUCCAGUAGAUCCCCGCGCACUAUGAGUUUGACUACGGGACGACAUCCUGGGAGAUCCAUUGGAUAUGUACAUAUGAGACUACAUGGCGGUAUAAUGGGAGAUCCCUGAUUGUUAUUAUUAGUGCUGAGCUGUAUUUCCUUUCCGUGUUUACCUUGUUUUUGUAUAGUUGUUGAUGUCCUGUACAUCCUGUAUUAUUUUACUAUUGUACUUAUUUAUACUAUUUUGUUCUAUACUGUUGAUCUUUAUAUUUUAUUUAACCUCAAUAGGGCCUGACCUUCCUCGUCACUACCCAACCGAGGUUAGACUUAGCACUUACUGAGUACCGCUGUGGUGUACUCAUGCUCUUUCUGUGCAUGUUUUUCAUGUGCAGAUCCAGGUACCGCUACUCAGGCCUACUAUCCUUGAGGGAAGCAACUACUCUAGAGACUUCGAGGUACAUCUGCCGCGUCUGCAGACCGAGGAGUCCCUUUCUAUUCUAGCUGUUAAACGUUGCCCUUCUGUAUUUUCUUUCUUGUUAGAUAUUCUGGAGUUAGACUAUUAGAU
rnacentral:lncRNA from 1 species